ACUUUCCCCAUUAUCAUUUGUCCUCCUAUUUCUCUGCUCAACUGCUUCCCCACAUCGUGGCUGUGGUUUAUCACGGUUACAAAUUAAACACACACAAAUUAACCGCUAUGAUGACGGUUUUAAUCAAUUUUUUUAGUUGGUGGUUAACUCCAUCUUUUUCUGCCCAUGAUCUUCAGAGCUCCUACAAACCUGGAUAGUGUUGUGAAUUUAGUUGGGAGCAUUCUUAUAUAAUGUACAACCUUGGCACCUUGCACUCACCGAUGGCUUCAAUUUUUCUCCAACUACCCCACAUCCAUACCCAUUCUCUCUGUACAUAAAAAGAAAAAAAAAACAAUCACAUUGAAAGAAUUUAUCAACAAGUUUGCAGAUAAUGAUGGCGACAGCCUAUUCUUCUCAGGCUUGCACUCCAUGAUUCCCUAAUGAUUUCAAGAGAAUUGCAAUUGUAAUAAUUUGGUGAUGAAUUUGUGCAGGUUGAUUCCUUGAAACCAAAGGAAAGCUUGGUGUCAUACAAAGAUAUGGCCUGGAUGGUAUAGAAUACAAGGAGAGUACAGGUGACGAUGAAGUCUGUGACGAUGUGAUAGAACAAAGAGGCUUAGACACCGACUGUUGCAAUCCACAGAAGAAGUUUUUAAGCAUACAGAUCCUCGAGAAUCACCCACAAAUGGUGCAAGAGUAUCUCCACCAUGAAAAACACAUAAGCGUCAUCUAUACGAGGUCAAAUUAAGGAAUCUCACUGAAAUUUCAUUUGGGUAGAAAUUGUUCAACUGUUAUUAUAUACCUGAUAAUCUAAAAACCACCAUCCUUUUUAUCCAAUUUCAAUGGAAUUGACCGUUUUGAAGGUGCUACACAUCAUUGGCAAGGGACAAUCUAAAUGUAAUUGCUAGGAAACCAUUGAUAAUAAUUACUAAAGGAAUAUUAGUUUAUAUGUGUUAAAAUGGUAAAUAGAUUAUGGUAUAGUGUACUAAUUGCUGUGAUAAUUUUUCAGUGCGGUAUAUGUACCAAUUGUAGAAGCUGUUGAUGAAAUCAUUGGAUACAGUUGUACAAUUCCUCAUAAAGAAAAUAUAGCUCAACGUUGUGAUGAGGCUGAUCCAGUUGCAAAGUCAACAGGAGCAAUCAAUUGUGUUAUUGGGAGACGGAUUGAUAGGAAGUUAUAUGGUUGUAAACUUGUAAUACAAAAUGUGUAGGAGCUAUUCUGCAAUUGAAGUUAGUCUACGAGGUUUGCUUCUUUAUAUGCUAUUAGAGGUGGCAUUAUGGGCGGUCAAAUGAAAACGGGCCCAGGUUAGGUUGAUUUGUAAGCACAAUUUUGUUUGUUUUACAAGUUUUUACAGAUAAUUAGUGCAUGAAUAUGCUUUCAUAAACAAUGUCUGUACAUAUGAACAUUUUUUUACUAAAAACAAUUCAACAGAAUGCAUGCACUGAAAUUAGGCUCGAGGCAACUCUCAACUCAUUCGACCCAUUUCACAUGUUCCCUUUUUUUGCUGGUUUUGUUUUGUUUGUGAUAAAACAUACUUGAGUAUACUUGAAGUGACUUUAAAUCAUUUUGACCCGUUUCAUAUUAAGUUAAACUUUCUUAAUGUUACCGUUUGACCCGUUUGACAAUAUAAUAUACUCUAUGUAACCCAUUUUAACAUAACUUGGCUGGAAGGGUUCCCUUAUCUUCAAUUUACAUUUUUUUACAAAUUUAUACAUGGACCCUUUCAUAAAAAUCAAAAGAAACUGCCAGUAGGGUAGUUAAAUUGCCAUAACGGAACUGUGAACUGAACCUAUCGACUUCUUCCCUUGGGUGGUUCACUCGGUUUUAACGGUUUAUAAACGCCUCUUGUGGUGACCUUUAUUAACUAUUCUUUCACUGAUUUUAUCAUAGUUUCGGAUAUGGGAUUGUUGUACUAUUUUGUUAAAAAACAGUCAAGAGCUCUACUUACUCAAAACAACUGCUAUGGUUCUUGUGGAUAGACCUGCUGACGGAGCUUGUGUUGUAUCAUGUUGCUCAUAUGUUAUAUCGCUAUUCUCAUUUGAUAUACUUUACACAAUCUUUUAAAACUAUACUGGAAUAGCAAGAUGUUGGUUAUGGUGAUGUUUGUUUUGAUAGCUCGACUGUUGACCACUUGUAUCAUUAAACAUUAAACAAGUAAAAUACUAACCUGACUCUUUUCAGUACCCUGAUAAUGGCAGGUAUGUCUUAACUGUAAAAGUGUUACACGCGCGGUCCACUACGUGAAUCAUGGCAGCACUUGAGGUUGGGGAGGAGUUAAUACAGAUCUAUAUUUCGAACCAGUUUACUUGAUUCACGAGUUAUAGUGUCAACUUAUUCGAAACUAAGUUAUAUGGUAUUUCGACAAGAAGGCCGAUCCUUUGGAAGUUGGUACCCACAUAAGUAUAAAAGGUAUCUCAAAAACAUGAUGCUAACUGUAAACAGUCUCCAAAGCCUUAAAAAAAUAUUUUUUUAAAGUUGAAAGUGUAGUAAAAAGAAACAUGGAUGAGUGGACUAGCCUAGAAAUUAGAAAUAUUGUAAUUGAAAAGUGAGGUUGCAGAUAUAAGUAUUUUGUUUUCAAUUCAUGGCAAGUUAUUAACUCAUAUUUAUGAUAUUAUAUUGGUGCUUAAUCAAAUCAUAUUUGUCUAAACUUAAUAAAAAUUAGCUUUUUUUUUA